UACGUAGGGUGCGAGCGUUGUCCGGAAUUAUUGGGCGUAAAGAGCUCGUAGGCGGUUUGUCGCGUCGACUGUGAAAACCUGGGGCUUAACUCUGGGCCUGCAGUCGAUACGGGCAGACUAGAGGUAUGCAGGGGAGAACGGAAUUCCUGGUGUAGCGGUGAAAUGCGCAGAUAUCAGGAGGAACACCGGUGGCGAAGGCGGCAUCCUGGACCGGUAUUGACGCUGAGGCGCGAAAGCUAGGGGAGCAAACGGG
rnacentral:rRNA from 1 species